CCCAGCCCGAGAGUUUUUUAACUGCUCUUUUGCUUUAUUGUGAGUGGGGAAAAUUAGUGAAAUUAUUUGUUUUGUUUCAGGAAACAACUAUUUUUCAUUAAAUACACCACCCAUUAUGAAAGUGGAUAAGUAAAGAUUAUUCAUCAUGCCUGCUGUAGCUUCAGUUCCUAAGGAACUCUACCUCAGUUCUUCACUAAAAGACCUCAAUAAGAAGACAGAAGUUAAACCAGAGAAAAUAAGCACUAAGAGGUAUGUAUCCUCUGCUAGUUUGAUUGAAUCAUUAAUUUUAGUUCAUUUCCUUAUUCAAGUUAGAUGAAUAGUCAGUUUAAAGUUUAUUUGAAAAAUAAUACCAUCACAUGAAUACAGUAAGACUUUAGAGAAGUUCUUUAUCUUCACAGAUUAUGUAUAUGUUCUGCUUAUAUGCAUAAUAACUGCUUUCUGGACAGUAUGUAUAGUAGAUCAUAUGUUUAAGAGACAAAGAAUAUUGAGGGUUUUAUAAACCAUUGUCUUUUCAUAAAACAUUGUAAAAAUGAUGUUUAUUCUUGUUACUACACAUGUGAGUUAUGAUACUAGCAUAAUCUUUCUUUGAUCAAAAGAGAAGUAAUAGGUAGUUUUUGUUCACUAUUCAGUAAGGUAUUAUCUUGUGUCAGUUCAACCUUGGCUUUUAACUUAAUGAUUUAUUCUAUGUAUUUUUGUUUUUGAGGAUCCAUCUACCUGCAGAGGCAGGGCUAGAGAUGAUGCCUUCUUGAUAGAGAUUACAGAAUCUGGCCUGAAUAAAAUAUAAUAGUCAUCUGGUUAUUUCAGUAUUUACUGGAAAUAUAAUUUUGCUAAAAAUGAUGUAUCAAUAAAAUUGUAAACCAGUUAGUUAUAUCUCUGUUAAGGGACAGAAGACAAUAACAGAACUUUUAUUCUGAAUUUAUUUUGACCAACAAAGGAGAUUAAGAGAUAAAUAAGUAACCACAUUAUUAUAGCAUCAAAAAUGAGUUUUUCAAAAGCAAAGUGGACCUAGACACCAUAUUCCCCAUAUUUUGGGAAAGCAGACUUUAUAAAUUAAGGGGGAAAAUAGGUGCUUCAUGACAAGAUACAUAGGAGAGUCUCAAUAUUGAUAUGUAUGAUCUCAAAUGGACCAAUAAAUAGAUGUCCAUGGAAACCUAUGAAUGCACAGGGACAUCUUAAUGAGUCAUAUUUUUAAGGGAAAUAAAUUGAAGAUGGGAAGAAAACAAAACAUCAAAAAUUACAAGAGAAAGGUAAAAACACUUAAAAAGAUCAGGAAAGAAAAAUCCCAAAAUGAACUGAAAUUUCUAAAUGUUACCAAGACAAAAAUGGGCUUUUUUUUUUUUUUUUAAGAUAACCUUUUGGGGAAGAUUAAGAGGGAUUGUGAAUUAUUUCUUAGGGGCUAAGUGGGUGGUAUUGAUGGAUGACAAGGAAAGCAGUUCUAUUUAACUCCUGUAUGUGACUUUCUAAUAGGAAACAGUGGGAAAGAUAAAGUCACUUUUAAGCUUUCUCAAAGCUGAAGGACAGAAGGAUUUUUGAAAUAGGACCUAAAAUGGGUCAUUACUUUCUGGCAGUGUCUGACUUAUAUCUGAGAUCACCCGUACCCCAGAGGAAGUGGUUUAAGUUGGUUACAUCCAAACAUAUCUAACUAUGUACCAAUUGAAGUAGUUCAACCUAAAUUAUGAAAUUUACUCUAUCAAGGUUAUCUUUGAAAUUUAUAAAUGACCUAUAAUUUUUUUCCCAAAUGUCAAGUAUUUUAAUUAUUUUUCCUCUUAAUUUUAAGUUAUGUACACAGCGCCCUGAAGAUCUUCAAGGCAGCAGAAGAAUGCAGAUUAGAUCGUGAUGAGGAAAGGGCUUAUGUUCUAUAUAUGAAAUAUGUGUCUGUUUAUAAUCUGAUCAAAAAAAGACCUGAUUUCAAGCAACAGCAGGUACCUUUUAUUUUUG
rnacentral:lncRNA from 1 species